UCUCUCCUUCUUUCAUCUCUUUUCUUCUUCCUCUCUCUCUAGGCUAAGGAAGGGUUGAGGAAGUUGAUGUUGGCAGCUUGGGGAGUUGCGGGCUGAGGAGUAAAGCCUGAUCCAAACAGAGAAUUCCUGCUGUUGGAGUUGCUGAACAACCUGCUGGCAGCUUGAUAGAUUGGGCUUGUUGAUGCUGCAGAGCAGGGAUUCUAGCUGAGAGAGCUUGGAAUUUGGGGCUAACCUGAUUCUCGCAGGGUGCCAAGUGCAGACCCAGCUUGGUACAGCUUGGGAGCUUGAUGUGCAUGGAAUUCAAAAUUCCAUGCUGAUUGCGGCUGCUACGUUGAUGCCUUGAUUAAGGAAGUUUGGAAAUUGAAGGAACUAAGUAAAGCUGAGAAAGGAAAAGGCUUGUGGACUGAGUUGUGGCUGUUGGAGCUACAGCUGAGAAGUUGCAGUCCAGAUUAGAGGAAGAGAUUGGUAAAGUCUCAAGCUUGGGGCUGAGUAGAGCUGCCAAGUUAAAGCUUCAGCUGAGGGAAACUCAAAAUCUUAGUGCUGAAAAUUGGAAAAUUCUGGACACCCAGAUGGAGGAGGGAGCAUAGUGAAGCUUCCAAUUAAGCAGAUUGUGAAGAGCAGAUUGUGAAGAGAAGCUAGUAAAGCAAGAUUAUUUCUUGUGACAGCUGAAAGUAACUAGGAGGAACUCCAAAUUACGGGCUGCUACCUCAUGAAGUUGAAUUGAAGAAGGGCUCAGUGAAGUUCUAAAAUCAGGUCUGCGGCGCACGAAUUACGGUAGAAGCCGUUUUAGCUCUAUUUGCACGGAGUCGCGAGAGCUCGUUGUUGAGACAGUGCGAGACGGUGAUUCCAGUUUGUUGGCAUCCCUACAGGAAAGUCGCUCCUCCUUGAACGAUGAGCUCCGGAGUAGUCAUCUUAACUGGAUCAGGAGCUAGCGUCUCCCCGAGUUGACAGUCCCGUCGGGAUGUAACUUGCGUCUCUCCGAUAUUUGGGAUAUCGUCGAUUCCAGUGCGAGCGGUGUGGCCGAGAAUCGUGGCAAGAGCCCAGCAGCCUAGCUAGCAGACACCCGAGUUUAGUGGUAUACCAUUUUGGGUUUCAUGUUGUACAUAAUAUUGAAUAGAGAGAAAUGUAAAUGAAAGUGUAAAUGAUGUAAAUAACUAAAUGCCUCAGUUAUCCAGUUUAUA